AAAGUCUGACGGAGCAACGCCGCGUGAGUGAUGAAGGUUUUCGGAUCGUAAAACUCUGUUGUCAGGGAAGAACAAGUGCCGGAGUAACUGCCGGCACCUUGACGGUACCUGACCAGAAAGCCACGGCUAACUACGUGCCAGCAGCCGCGGUAAUACGUAGGUGGCAAGCGUUGUCCGGAAUUAUUGGGCGUAAAGCGCGCGCAGGCGGUUUCUUAAGUCUGAUGUGAAAGCCCCCGGCUCAACCGGGGAGGGUCAUUGGAAACUGGGAAACUUGAGUGCAGAAGAGGAGAGUGGAAUUCCACGUGUAGCGGUGAAAUGCGUAGAGAUGUGGAGGAACACCAGUGGCGAAGGCGACUCUCUGGUCUGUAACUGACGCUGAGGCGCGAAAGCGUGGGGAGCGAACAGGAUUAGAUACCCUGGUAGUCCACGCCGUAAACGAUGAGUGCUAAGUGUUAGAGGGUUUCCGCCCUUUAGUGCUGCAGCUAACGCAUUAAGCACUCCGCCUGGGGAGUACGGUCGCAAGACUGAAACUCAAAGGAAUUGACGGGGGCCCGCACAAGCGGUGGAGCAUGUGGUUUAAUUCGAAGCAACGCGAAGAACCUUACCAGGUCUUGACAUCCUUUGCCACUUCUAGAGAUAGAAGGUUCCCCUUCGGGGGACAAAGUGACAGGUGGUGCAUGGUUGUCGUCAGCUCGUGUCGUGAGAUGUUGGGUUAAGUCCCGCAACGAGCGCAACCCUUGAUCUUAGUUGCCAGCAUUCAGUUGGGCACUCUAAGGUGACUGCCGGUGACAAACCGGAGGAAGGUGGGGAUGACGUCAAAUCAUCAUGCCCCUUAUGACCUGGGCUACACACGUGCUACAAUGGAUGGUACAAAGGGCUGCGAGACCGCGAGGUUUAGCCAAUCCCAUAAAACCAUUCUCAGUUCGGAUUGCAGGCUGCAACUCGCCUGCAUGAAGCUGGAAUCGCUAGUAAUCGCGGAUCAGCAUGCCGCGGUGAAUACGUUCCCGGGCCUUGUACACACCGCCCGUCACACCACGAGA
rnacentral:rRNA from 2 species